GAUGAAGAACGUAGCGAAAUGCGAUACGUAAUGUGAAUUGCAGAAUUCAGUGAAUCAUCGAAUCUUUGAACGCAUAUUGCGCUCUCUGGUAUUCCGGAGAGCAUGCUUGUUUGAGUAUCAGUAAACACCUCAACUUCCAUAUCUUUUUUGAAAUGGGAGUUGGACUUGAGUGAUCCCAACGCUUUUCCUCACCGAAAAGUGGCGGGUUACUUGAAAUGCAGGUGCAGCUGGACUUUUCUCUGAGCUAUAAGCAUAUCUAUUUAGUCUGCCUAAAAAACAGAUUAUUACCUUUGCUGCAGCUAACAUAAAGGAGAUUAGUUCUUGUGCUGACUGAUGCAGGAUUCACAAAGACGGCUUCGGCCGACUUUGUAAACUCGAUCUCAAAUCAAGUAGGACUACCCGCUGAACUUAAGCAUAUCAAUAAGCGGAGGA
rnacentral:misc_RNA from 1 species